ensembl:lncRNA
CUGAAGCAGUCGCCCCCAACGGGAGCGCUCAGGCAUGAAAAUAUGAGGAAAGCCGAUGUCCUCCUAUUUCCCCACGAGUGAUCUGUGGCCGCCCAGACUUCAUUCCACAGAUGUGCUUUAACAAAGUGUAAAGCUGAACUCUGAGCUGUGACAGUGUGAGCAGUGUGAGAGUGUCAGUAGAUGAUCAGCAGAGGAAAGUGAGAGCUGCUGUGAGCUGAUGUCCUGAAGGGCUUUUAAAGAGUCUCUGAGUUUGACAGGAACAUGAAGAUGUUUGUGGUGUUUGUGAUCCUCCUGCACGUUUCCCAGCAUGCUCUGGCUGUGGUGGUGGAGGUGAAUGAGGGGGAAAGGUCUGUCCUGCUGUCCUGUCUGUACCCAGAUUAUAUACUUGAGGACAAUUCAACAGUGAUGUGGACUCGCAGUGACCUUGAUCCCAAAUCUGUCCACAUACGACGAGAAAUAGGAGACGAUCUUAGAGGACAAAACCAGCGUUACAGCAGACGCACAUCAAUGAAUCGUUACGCUUUCAUCAUUAAAGACUUCAGCCUCACUCUAAGGAAACCCACAAAGACUGACAGCGGCAACUACACCUGCUCCAUCAGUGCUGGAGGAAAAGAACGGAGACUCAGAGACAUCCAGCUGCAGGUCAAAGCAAGUGGAGGUGAAGGUGGAGAAAGGGGUACAGUCUGUCAUCCUGCCCUGCAAAACAACACCUGACCUGCCUGAGGACACCACAGUAGAGUGGACUCGCUCUGACCUCGGACUCAUCACAGUCCAUGAGUAUUCUAACAGAAAUGAUGACCUCAUGACUCAGGAUGAAGUUUACAGAGACCGAACGAAGAUGAAUGAAGACCUGCUGAGAACUGGAGACCUCAGUCUGACCCUGAAACAGCCCACAGAGAGAGACAGUGGAGGAUACAUCUGCACCAUCUACAGGGACAAAGACAUCCUGAGACAGAAAGUUGUACUGCAGGUCAAAAAACCAUUUCCAUCCUGGUUCAAAGAUCUUCUGGUUCUCCUGUUUGUCUUUGUGAUUUUUGGAGGUCUUUUAUAUUAUUUACGUCACUAUUACAUGUCAGGUAAGUGUCUUUCCUACUACACUACCCAUAAUACCACUAGUUAGCAGGAGUCGUCUGGUGGCUCCUUGACUGUUCAGAGCAGACACAUGAGAUCUUCAUGGUUUCUGUGCUGAUGUGUGUGAGACAUGGGCGACUGUGGAGGCUCAGUCUGUCUGUUCUUCUGCUCUUCAUCCAACAUGUCUGCAGCACUUUACAGGACGCUGCAGACUAGUUACCAAAGAACGAGUCAGGAACACAUCAGGAACAAACUGAGACACAAUCUGACUGAGACUAGAAGACAAGGAGGGGACAGGGAGGUCAUGUGACCAUCACAGCUGCUGCUGAUGUCAUCAUGUUGUCCUUUGUUAUCCUCUCAGAUUACCAGGUGGAGGUGGAUUCAGGGGUGGAGUCUGUAAAGCUGCCCUGCAAAACUAUAUUUAAAUUCCUAAAACACACUAAAGUGGAGUGGAGGGACAGAAACAACAGGAAGGUCCACGUGUAUCACAAUGGCUCUGACCAGGUUAGAGAACAGCACCGGUUUUACAGAAACCGAACAGAGAUGAAGAGGAAUUUACUGAAACCUGGAGACCUCAGUCUGACCCUGACGUAUCCCACUGAUGAUGACAACUCCACCUACACCUGCACCGUCUACAGCAGGAAGGGAAACAUACUGGCAACGAAAAAUGUGCAGCUCCAUGUCAGAGUCCCCCAGGUGGAGGUGGAUUCAGGGGAGGCAUCUGUCCUGCUGCCCUGCAAAACUACUAUAAACCUGCUUAAAGAUGCUAAAGUGGAGUGGAUGACCAAAUUCAACAGGAAGGUCCACGUGUAUGAGACCGGAUCUGACCAGCUUGAAGAUCAGGACAACUAUUACAGAAACAGAACACUGAUGAAUAAAGACCUGCUGAAAACUGGAGACCUCAGUCUGACCCUGAAAUACCCCACAGACUGGGACACAGACAUCUACACCUGCACCGUCUACAACAGGGAGGGAAAAAUAAUCCUGAUGAAACAAGUGGAGCUGAAAGUCAGAGUCUGUCAGGUGGAGGUGGAGGAGGGGGCGGAGUCUGUCGAGCUACCUUUCAAAACCACAGAAGACCUGCCUGCAGAUGCUAAAGUGGUGUGGUGGAACAAUGAUGACAGGAAGGUUCACGUGUAUAAGAACGGCUCUGAUCAGCCUGGAGAACAGCACCAGGUUUACAGAGACCGAACGAAGAUGAAGAGAAGAUCUCUGCUGAAGCCUGGAGACCUCAGUCUGACCCUGGAACAGCCCACAGAGAGAGACAGCGGGAGGUACAGCUGUAGAGUCUACGGGGAGAUCAAGAGAUACAAAAGAGUGCUGCUCAUAGUCAAAGGGAGAGUUCAGGUCCAGGAUCAAACAGGGGACAUCAGGAGCAGAAGCAGCUCCAUUGAUCCGACUCCUCUGAUGGCUGAUCAAUCAGUUUGAUCUGUGUGUUCUUUGAUUAUUGAUCAGUGAUGUCAGAGUGGAGUCAGUGUGAUGUUGUUGUUGUGUGUUUGAGACUUUUAGUGUCCAUGAAGGUCUCUGCUGCCGUAGAUCCUCUGAACUGUGACAGAGGUCUCACUCUGGAGGAAACUCUCAGCACUUUCCAGCAGCUCCUCCAUCAUGGAGGACGUUCCCUCACUGUAACAGGUGGAGGAGAGAGGAGAGGAAGCACAGGUGGAUCCUCUGAGGAAGACAUUAAUGUUAUUACAUGAGUGGAAACAUCAUAGUAAAGAUAAAUCUCCAUGUGUACGAUCUCUGAGGCUCAAAUCAGUCCAGUCAGAUCUGUUGUCCCUUCUAUGUAGGGUUGCCAACUAUCCCGUUUUAUCUAGGAUGUCCCGUAAAAUGACCAACAUAGGUUUCUGCAGUAUUCUACCUUAAAUGUCCCGUAUAAUUACCGUUACCUGGAAUGUCAUUUUCUGACUAACAGCUGGCACUCUAACAAAUACCAAAACUGAUUUGACUGCAAUUACAUCAGAAGAGUACUUGUGUGCAGUCACAUCUGUCAGUGAUGCCCAUCACACACACCAGGUGUGAGGAGUAAUACACGAUUCUUAAAAAUAACGUGCUGUUUGGUCUGCGUAACAUAACAUACUGGGUAACUGAGACCUGUACUUACAAUAUUUUCUUUGAAUAUUUUUCUUUUUUGCUUAUUUUUCAAGGUAAUGCACAUGUGAUUUCUAUCAUCAUUUACUGUAUUUUCUUUAUUGAUUUAGAUGAGGUAUUGAUUAAACUGAAUACCAUUAUUUUACUGCAUUUUGACUGUAAGAAUAUGAACAUACAGUGCAUAUUUACACUGUGCCCAGCUGGCUGUGCAUUGUGCUUCUGCCACACCAGUGUCCCUUAUUUG